rnacentral:piRNA from 1 species
AAGUAGGAGGACAGACUGGAUAC